GAUCUUUUUUUAAAAAAACACACGCGUUUUGUAACCUUGUUCGGGGUGCUUUAAGUUAAAGCCGAUGCUUUAGUUGAAGUUCGAGCAAGAUGGAAACGCGGAGGCCUAAC
rnacentral:sRNA from 1 species